rnacentral:rRNA from 1 species
UAAAAAAAGGUAAGCUACUAAGAGCGAAUGGUGGAUGCCUUGACUGGUAAAGGCGAUGAAGGACGUACUAGACUGCGAUAAGCUACGGGGAGCUGUCAAGAAGCUUUGAUCCGUAGAUUUCCGAAUGGGGCAACCCAAUGUAUAGAGAUAUACAUUACCUAUAUAGGAGCGAACGAGGGGAAUUGAAACAUCUUAGUACCCUCAGGAAAAGAAAUCAAUAGAGAUUGCGUCAGUAGCGGCGAGCGAAAGCGCAAGAGGGCAAACCCAGUGCUUGCACUGGGGGUUGUAGGACUGCAAUGUGCAAGAGGUAAGUUUAGCAGAACAUUCUGGAAAGUAUAACCAUAGAGGGUGAUAGUCCCGUAUGCGAAAAACAAACCUUAGCUAGCAGUAUCCUGAGUAGGGCGGGACACGAGGAAUCCUGUCUGAAUCCGGGUCGACCACGAUCCAACCCUAAAUACUAAUACCAGAUCGAUAGUGCACAAGUACCGUGAGGGAAAGGUGAAAAGAACUGAGGUGAUCAGAGUGAAAUAGAACCUGAAACCAUUUGCUUACAAUCAUUCAGAGCCCUAUGUAGCAAUACAGGGUGAUGGACUGCCUUUUGCAUAAUGAGCCUGCGAGUUGUGGUGUCUGGCAAGGUUAAGCAAACGCGAAGCCAUAGCGAAAGCGAGUCUGAAUAGGGCGCUUAGUCAGAUGCUGCAGACCCGAAACGAAGUGAUCUAUCCAUGAGCAAGUUGAAGCUAGUGUAAGAACUAGUGGAGGACUGAACCCAUAGGCGUUGAAAAGCCCCGGGAUGACUUGUGGAUAGGGGUGAAAGGCCAAUCAAACUUCGUGAUAGCUGGUUCUCUCCGAAAUAUAUUUAGGUAUAGCGUUGUGUCGUAAUAUAAGGGGGUAGAGCACUGAAUGGGCUAGGGCAUACACCAAUGUACCAAACCCUAUCAAACUCCGAAUACCUUAUAUGUAAUCACAGCAGUCAGGCGGCGAGUGAUAAAAUCCGUCGUCAAGAGGGAAACAACCCAGACUACCAGCUAAGGUCCCUAAAUCUUACUUAAGUGGAAAACGAUGUGAAGUUACUUAAACAACCAGGAGGUUGGCUUAGAAGCAGCCAUCCUUUAAAGAAAGCGUAAUAGCUCACUGGUCUAGUGAUUUUGCGCGGAAAAUAUAACGGGGCUAAAGUAAGUACCGAAGCUGUAGACUUGCACACAACUUAGAUUAUUUAAGUUUAGAAUAUGAGAAACUAAGUUAUAUGUUUAGUUAUAUUUUUACUGAUUUUUAUAGAGUAAAGAUAGAAAUAAAACUUAGUAAAAUCAGUAAAAAUAUUCUUAGACUAAAGUUAAGUAGUUUAAGUUGUGUGCAAGUGGUAGGAGAGCGUUCUAUUUGCGUCGAAGGUAUACCGGUAAGGAGUGCUGGAGCGAAUAGAAGUGAGCAUGCAGGCAUGAGUAGCGAUAAUUAAUGUGAGAAUCAUUAACGCCGUAAACCCAAGGUUUCCUACGCGAUGCUCGUCAUCGUAGGGUUAGUCGGGUCCUAAGUCGAGUCCGAAAGGGGUAGACGAUGGCAAAUUGGUUAAUAUUCCAAUACCAACAUUAGUGUGCGAUGGAAGGACGCUUAGGGCUAAGGGGGCUAGCGGAUGGAAGUGCUAGUCUAAGGUCGUAGGAGGUUAUACAGGCAAAUCCGUAUAACAAUACUCCGAGAACUGAAAGGCUUUUUGAAGUCUUCGGAUGGAUAGAAGAACCCCUGAUGCCGUCGAGCCAAGAAAAGUUUCUAAGUUUAGCUAAUGUUGCCCGUACCGUAAACCGACACAGGUGGGUGGGAUGAGUAUUCUAAGGCGCGUGGAAGAACUCUCUUUAAGGAACUCUGCAAAAUAGCACCGUAUCUUCGGUAUAAGGUGUGGUUAGCUUUGUAUUAGGAUUUACUCCGAAAGCAAGGAAACUUACAACAAAGAGUCCCUCCCGACUGUUUACCAAAAACACAGCACUCUGCUAACUCGUAAGAGGAUGUAUAGGGUGUGACGCCUGCCCGGUGCUCGAAGGUUAAUUGAUGGGGUUAGCAUUAGCGAAGCUCUUGAUCGAAGCCCGAGUAAACGGCGGCCGUAACUAUAACGGUCCUAAGGUAGCGAAAUUCCUUGUCGGUUAAAUACCGACCUGCAUGAAUGGCGUAACGAGAUGGGAGCUGUCUCAAAGAGGGAUCCAGUGAAAUUGUAGUGGAGGUGAAAAUUCCUCCUACCCGCGGCAAGACGGAAAGACCCCGUGGACCUUUACUACAGCUUGACACUGCUACUUGGAUAAGAAUGUGCAGGAUAGGUGGGAGGCUUUGAGUAUAUGACGCCAGUUGUAUAUGAGCCAUUGUUGAGAUACCACUCUUUCUUAUUUGGGUAGCUAACCAGCUUGAGUUAUCCUCAAGUGGGACAAUGUCUGGUGGGUAGUUUGACUGGGGCGGUCGCCUCCCAAAUAAUAACGGAGGCUUACAAAGGUUGGCUCAGAACGGUUGGAAAUCGUUCGUAGAGUAUAAAGGUAUAAGCCAGCUUAACUGCAAGACAUACAAGUCAAGCAGAGACGAAAGUCGGUCUUAGUGAUCCGGUGGUUCUGUGUGGAAGGGCCAUCGCUCAAAGGAUAAAAGGUACCCCGGGGAUAACAGGCUGAUCUCCCCCAAGAGCUCACAUCGACGGGGAGGUUUGGCACCUCGAUGUCGGCUCAUCGCAUCCUGGGGCUGGAGCAGGUCCCAAGGGUAUGGCUGUUCGCCAUUUAAAGCGGUACGCGAGCUGGGUUCAGAACGUCGUGAGACAGUUCGGUCCCUAUCUGCCGUGGGCGUAAGAAGAUUGAAGAGAUUUGACCCUAGUACGAGAGGACCGGGUUGAACAAACCACUGGUGUAGCUGUUGUUCUGCCAAGAGCAUCGCAGCGUAGCUAAGUUUGGAAAGGAUAAACGCUGAAAGCAUCUAAGCGUGAAGCCAACUCUAAGAUGAAUCUUCUCUAAGCUCUCUAGAAGACUACUAGUUUGAUAGGCUGGGUGUGUAAUGGAUGAAAGUCCUUUAGCUGACCAGUACUAAUAGAGCGUUUGGCUUAUCUUUAAUAAAGCAU